GACGAACCGUACGAACGUUAUUCGGAAUUACUGGGCUUAAAGGGUGCGUAGGCGGCGCGGAAAGUAGGGUGUGAAAUCCCUCGGCUCAACCGAGGAACUGCGCUCUAAACUACCGUGCUCGAGGGAGGUAGAGGUGAGCGGAACUGAGGGUGGAGCGGUGAAAUGCGUUGAUAUCCUCAGGAACACCGGUGGCGAAAGCGGCUCACUGGACCUCUUCUGACGCUGAGGCACGAAAGCUAGGGGAGCAAACAGG
rnacentral:rRNA from 1 species